rfam:Chlorocebus sabaeus isolate 1994-021 chromosome 2, whole genome shotgun sequence.
GCCAGGCACGGUGGCUCACGCCUGUAAUCCCAGCACUUUGGGAGGCCGAGGUGGGUGGAUCAUGAGGUCAGGAGAUCGGCUAACACGGUGAAACACCAUCUCUACUAAAAAUACAAAAAAUUAGCCAGGCACGGUGGCNNNNNNNNNNGCCACCGUGCCUGGCUAAUUUUUUGUAUUUUUAGUAGAGAUGGUGUUUCACCGUGUUAGCCGAUCUCCUGACCUCAUGAUCCACCCACCUCGGC